rnacentral:rRNA from 1 species
AUGCUAGUAGGAGAAAUCCCAACGCAAAUUAGAAAUCUUAAAAACUUAACCUAUUUAGAUCUUUAUUUCAAUGGCCUGUCUGGUUCUAUUCCUGCCUCUCUUGGAGGCCUUCAGAAAUUACAGAUUUUGUAUCUGUCAAACAACCAGCUAUCCGGGCCGAUUCCCACUACCCUAGGAAAUCUCUCAUCUCUACUAGUUCUAGAUGUCCAAACAACUGGCCUAACUGGUAGCAUCCCUGAAUCCUUAGGAAAUCUCUCAUCUCUCCUAGCUCUAGAUGUCCAAACAAAUGGCCUAACUGGUAGCGUCCCUGAAUCCUUAGGAAAUCUCUCAUCUCUCCUAGCUCUAGAUGUCCAAACAAAUGACCUAACUGGUAGCAUCCCUGAAUCCUUAGGAAAUCUGAACCUCCUCAACAUCCUUUCUCUCGCAUCUAAUAGCCUUACAGGCUCAAUCCCUCACUCUCUUGGAAAACUUAGUUCCCUCAUUAACUUUAAUCUGAAAGAGAAUCAACUCGAGGGUACUAUGCCACCUUCGGUCUACAAUCUUUCAUUCAUCCAAAAAUUUGACGUUCAAAACAACAGACUCAGGGGAUCCAUUUCAGAUGACUUGGGUAAUAAGUGUCCAGAACUCCAGCUAUUUGACUUAAGCUUUAAUCAAUUUCAUGGGUCCAUCCCAAAGUCUUUAUGCAAUGCUUCAAUGCUUGAAGCAAUUCAAUUGGAUGAAAACUUUCUUUCUGGAGUAAUACCAAAAUGUCUUGGAUCUACCAUGAAGAGCUUAUCAAUACUGAUUCUCUCAGAUGGUCAACUAGAGGCAAGGAAUGAUGCAGAUUGGGACUUCAUUUCUAGCCUGACAAACUGUAGUAUGCUGCAGUACCUGACUCUAAGCAAUAACAAACUAGAAGGGGUGCUACCAAAUUCAAUAGCAAAUCUUUCCACAAACUUAAGAUAUUUCAGCGUGUCGGACAACAUGCUACGGGGAAAUAUACCUGAAGGAAUUGGAAACCUUGUCAACUUGCAACACUUGCAGAUGGAAGGUAAUUUCCUACAUGGGAAAAUUCCCGAGUCGAUUGGCAACCUUGGGAUCCUGGGUGAACUAUACUUGGCAAACAACAGUUUAUCUGGACCAAUUCCACCAAAACUUGGAAAUCUCACAGCAUUAAAUACACUCAUCCUGGCCCAAAAUAUGCUUACUGGUCCCAUACCAUCCAGCCUUAGAAGUUGUCCUUUGGAGACACUAAGCCUACAAUUCAAUCAGUUUGUUGGUCCUACUAGUAAGAUGCCCGUGCUACGCUACGGGAUCACACAAGAUUAA